AUUAUAAUCAAUACAGUUUGUUUAAAAUCAAUUGCUAGGUCAAUGACUUUAAAGUAUUUUUAAAUAGUUAACUGAAACAGCAAGAUCAUUGCUAAUUUUAAAAUAGCCCUUUUUAAUGCAGAAUUUUCGUGAAUCGCACGGGGACACCAGGGAAAUUAAUCAGCAAGCAGCACACAUUCUCAUCCAGGACUACGCUAGAGAGUGUUACAUUUGUCCCAGAUCAUAGUGUUAGGAACAGACAGGAGAUGAAACACCUAUUGCUGAUCGCUGCUCUGUUGAGUGUCGUUGCCUCACAAGUAAUGGGAGAGGGCACUUUAGACAAUCCUUCAUCAAGCAGUCCAGAGCCCCUAUUGACGACGGCAAUUUGCGGAAUGCAAGGACAAAGCUGCGUAAAUUAUCCAUGCUGUUGGAAGUUCAUUUGCAAAUACGACAAAAAAGCUAGAGUCAAAUUGUGUGACAAAAAGAAAAACGAAAAUGAAGACUUCGAAUGAUGCUCUUAACCAAUGUGUCUUCAAGUAUCUAUUCGUUGAUCUUUUAUUUUAUUUACUAUGAAAUAAAGAGAACAACACAUUGUGUUAUUUAAUAAGAAA